GAGGGUAUAGCUUAGUGGUAGAGUGUGUGCCUAGCAUGCACGAAGUCCUGGAUUCAAUCCCCAGUACCUCCA
rnacentral:tRNA from 1 species